CCAAUCCGAGCGCUCGUCUCAUGGCGGCGCUCCGCCCCCCGCUGAGGGAGGCGGUGUGGAGGGGGGCGGAGGGGGCGCCCCCUGGCGGCGGGGGCCCGCGGCCCUCAGCCCCCGGGGCCGGCGGACGACGGGGCCGGGGCCCGGUUCCCCUCCCAGCCCCUCCGAGGGGCGACCCCGCAGCUCCCCGUGGGCUCCCGCCGCAGGGGGACGCGUGCCCCGCCGCCGGGGGGCGCCUCACCCCCAUCCCUUUGCCCCCUCAGUGCUCCUCGCUGCGGGCUCCCCUCGGAGCCGCGCCUCAGCCCACAGCUAGUAAAAUGUGUGAAUGGCCAAACCCUGAGGAAAUGCACCCAAAAAAUGCUCCCUGGGGCUCCGGGGUCCCCUCAGGGUUGGCACGGUGGUACACGGGUCUGAGCACCACAUGCCAGCUCGAGCAAGGGCAAUAAUUACUGCCAUUGGGAAUUUGGCUAAUUGGUCAUUCCGGUGGGGUUUAUUGCCGUAUUUUUGUCACUGCACCUAAAAGGAGUGUUUGUAGUAUGGCGGCAUGGAAAAAUACAGCUUUGUUGAUUCCGGAGUUGGGAUGAGCGUAUGCUCAGAAAGCCAUUCGGUCCAGCAGGGAUUUCUCCGGCAAAGAUUUCUUCCAGGUUUAUCGCCAAGCGCUCCGCGCGCCGUGUUUGUGCACCAGCACGCACAGCAAGCGUUGGUCCUGGCUGCAGACCCUGCAAUGGGCUCUUGUGGCCAAGUGACCCAAAGCCCAGUGAUGGAGGAAGGGUAGAUUUUGGUUAAAGAUGACUCACAGCUUCUACAAAAACUGGUUCUCCUCCUACUCUGCCCUAGGAGAAUAACAGCAGGGUCAGUUGUCAGUGCAAUUAAGCUACUUCUCCACUUUGUCUUUUAAAAGCCUGAUACAGUCUUUUAAAUUGAGGCCCAGGUGUAUACUGAAGUCAUCUCCAUUUGUACUGACCUGUCCCUUCCAUGAGCAAUCAAGAUAAAAAUCAGAGAUGCAAAUUUUCUAACUUGUGCUUCAUAACUUAAAUCUUUAGCCAAGAAAGAUUUUUAAAACUGAAGCGAGUGGAAUUGCUUACCCAAUUUGGUUCUGUUUUUUCUCCACAGUUGUUCUCCGCUCCUCUGGGCAGUUCUCUUAACUUGAAUUAUGAAAGCUAUGGAGUCAAUUUCUUCCUCUACCCUGUAUAACAGUUUCAAUUUCAUUAUACCACGCUGAAAUGUUGGGAUAACAAAUAGCACAAGAAAAAAUAUAAGACCAAACAAAAUUGCUUUAUUUCCCACAUGUCUUAACAGCGAUUUGUACUCAUUUUAGAAAAUGAAAGCGUUUUCAUGCUGUUAUAUUUUUAUUUGGGAUUUCUGAGAGUCUCCCUAACAUUUUGAAGACUUGAAACAUUUUAGAACUGACUUGGAUACAAGUGUGGUAUUGUGUCAUGUUUUCAUGCAACUACAUUGUUCUGCAGUUGAGCACAAAACAGCGUAGGACUUCACGGUUGUCCUUUCCUGGCACAUGGGUCUUGUUCUCAAAGUUAUUUGGGGAUAUUUUCUUCCUUUAGCUUGGAAAGACUGAUUCAGGGCAAGUGCACAGUGGAUGUAGCAGGCUGCCAGAUGCAGAAAAAGCAUGCUGCUCUGAUUCAUCAUCUGCAGUAUCUGGAAUCUGAUGUAAUGCCCAUUGUAUUUCCCACAUUUAAUGUGUUCUUUCUGAUGGUCCAGCACAGGCUUUGUUUUUCCAAAAGCCUCGUGCUGCCAGAGUGAGAGAAGCCUUCACAUUAGGUUAAUUUAUUUAUUUCUAGUUCUCAUAGAUAGUCCAAAUAAUUUCCCUGUUCGCCUGUCUGGAACAGUGCUGUAACCCUUCAUUGAAUCCUCCUUUCUCUCAUCUCCUGGGUCAUCAGGUCUGUAUCUCCAUCUGCAUCGUCUCGUUUGUAUACUGCUGUUUCAGCACUGCCUCUGCUGCAUGUGUCCUGCCUUGCCUAUUUUGUCUUCCCCACGGCCUACACGGCUCGUUUUUCUGGACCGCAGCGCUGUCUCCCACGCAAGCGUGGGUAUUCUCAUCCUCCCAGCGAGGGCCGUGCUCUCAUUUCAGGCUCCAGCUGGAAAAGGAUGCUGCAACCCCGCCCUGUUUCAUUUACUUGCAAAUAUCUUUUUGACCCAACUCAUCUUCUUGAGCAUCUGCAUCGCCUAGUAAAACCACUGUCACAAGUCCUUGCCUUAACAAGCAAACCCCCAGACCUCCUCCCUCCAGGACCACCGCUCCCUAAAGCUGCUCGGCGACCCUCCAGCCUCCUUUCAGACCGCCAAAGCUUUUCUGUUCUUUUCCUGUCCAUAUCUCUCUGUUGCUGCUUUUGUUGGGGCUGAUUUUUCAUGACGUUGUCCCAUUCUGAGAGGCAUGUAGAUUAAAACAUGACAAAGAAAAAUGCUCAAGUGCUGUAAACUCAUUUGAGUUAUGUAAGCAGACCGUGCCUCGCUGGCCCUGUUGACCUCUCCAGACUACAUCUGUGCAUGAUAAGUAGGCACUUGCAUCCAGGUUUGCAAAUUAAACUGUGCAUGGCAUUGGGCUGUGCAUUGUAGUAUCCAUUGAACUUCCCUUGUGCAAGGCUGAUUUAAAAUACUAAUCUAGAAGAUGGAAGAAAAUGUUUGUUAGAACCUUCUAAAUUAUAUUGCAACUGAAAUGUGAUUACUUUACAUCCUGCAUGGAGAAUACAAAACACGGUGAAGGUAAUGAUACGAGUUUACUGAUUUAGAGUAAGCCACAGAAAAUUUAAUUAAGAUUGCUUCAUGUAAAACAUACAAAUGUAACAAAAUGCUCCUGUUUUGGUUUCCAGAGCCAUUCCCCCCAGAGAAGAAAAAAAAAAGUUUCUUUUUAACAAGGUAAAUUAUUUCCCUUAUUCUGCAAGGAAAAAGUUUCACUAAAAAAGUUUGGCUGUAACUGUGUUUUAAUAGCAUCUACCUAAUAAUCUCAAAAUUGCUUUUACUUAAAACUAAGUGAAAGGUAUACCAUUAAAGGAAGCAUUUCAUCACAUACAUUCACUUUUGACUACCUCUUUUUUUUUUUUUGUCAUUCAUUCCCCAACAUUAAAUACAUAUGGUCAGCAGGCAAAAUAAGUGACAAAAUAACAAUCCUUAUUGUGCCUUCUGUAAGAAGCACAUCGAGUUUUAGGAAAAGGCAGGUUUUCAGUUCUCCAUGAACACCUACUAGAAGCCAUGCCGUGGUGUAUGAAUUGGGAAAGUGUGUUCUGGCUGCAGAAAUGCCUGCAGGAAAAGCACUUUGCCAUUCGCAUGCCACCAUCUCCCUCCUCCGUUACAAAAGGCUGCUGCUUCUGAAGGCGUCUUGAGACCUGAGUUCAGUAGGAGGGAAAAAUCAACCACAAAAGUUUGGCGUUUCACAAGAUCCGAGGUAAACUGCAUUUGUUCACAGGCUUCUCCAGAGCAGGGGCCAUUUUUCAUUCUUUUUGUGCACGGCUGCUACAGGGGAGUCCUGGCCCAUAGGCAAGGCAGCAGCUUGUGGCAGCAGUACAUGGCCACGCUCACAGACACGUAGGGGAACGCUGAUGCACCAGAGGUUUUUUGCAUUUCAAGACUUUCUAAUUAGAGCGUUUCCCAGAAGCCUGCACUGGACAGAUGUAGUUCAACUUCAAAUCCAGGUCAGCCACUUGAUCUCGGAUUACUGUUCAUUUAGUCCCUGCAAACCUCUUCCCCGAGAAGGACGUUCAGCCUUCACGCGAUUAGCCCCACAGCACUUAGCAGGACACAGCCAGCUUUGCUCAGGUUCAGGUGCCACCACCAGCCGUUCCUGGUCACACAGGAGCAUUGUCGUUACGGGAGAUACUUGUGCAUCAACCGCACAGUAAACAAAGGAUAUCUUGAUUUCCUCUCCGUUAAGCGGGCUGGGAUGAUUCCAAACUAUUCAUGGUGUUUGUUGAUAUUUCUGAAUUUGCUAGAAAUAAAAAGGUUGACCAGAAAUAGCAAAUAUUUUCUCUCAGAAUUAGUACUGUAUCUAGGCAUCAUAAUAAAGACUCGUUGCAAAGGAUUUAACGGACUUCAGUUUUCUAGAACAUUUUCCUGUGUCCAGCCCUGGGAAAGGACUUAGUACAGGUCCGUUUGACAGCUGUUUUCUAAAAAGAGAGUGAGUUGAUAAAAUCAGGCUUAGCCAGCCUCUGCUGGGAAAGAAGGGAUCCUUCAGAGAUAUUCCUCGUACUUCUGGAUACCUUUAGUUGAUAAAAAAGGAACAUGGAAAAAGUUUGGUGAUAAGUUAUGUUUGAUGCUUGAACUGCAGCCACAUUUUCUGAAAACCUUGUUUGGUAACCUAAUUUAGGUAUGUGCCAACCACAGAUGCUAUGUACCCGGGCUUUUUGUAAAACAGCAAAAAAUAAAUUUCCUGUCUGGGGAAAAUCCACUAUUCAUUUCAACAUGUACCAAGAUGGUUAGUCUGUCUCCUCCCCAGAUGCUCAGAAGUGAAGAAGGCAGACCCUUCUCCUCAGUGCAGGAGUUAGAGGGGGGUUCCCAGCCACCGAAUCCCCUGCAUCACAGCCACCACGACGUAUCUCCUGAGCAAGCUUCCUGUUAAGGGAAGUUGAGUUUUUUUUUCUUGUAGCCUUGACCGGGAGACUCCACUGGGCGUCACUGAGGACAAGUAAGGGAAUUUUUUUUUCAAGGCCUAUUUCUACUUAUUUGUUCUCAUGCCAAGAUUUUUGCAUUGCUUAAAGAGGGGACUUAUUUUUUCUUUCCCCAGUGUUUAUUCUCCUGAUGUAUUUAUAGACAGCAGUCAUACCCUCUCCUGGAGUUUGUUUUGUUAGACUGCACGAGUCACAUUCCUUUUAUCUUCUCCUGUACAAUAUGUUCUCCAGUCUCCAGUUUGUCUUACUAGCUCCUGUGGUGGAGCGCCAUAACAGAACAUUUGAAAAACAGUUUAAGUUAUGUGAUACAUUUGUUGAAACAGUUUCAGAAAGCCUUAUUGAUUUUUAAGGAAAGAAAGCUUCCCCUUAAAAGUCUUCAGCUCCUUACAAGAGAAUAGAUCUCUAACCUUGUGAGAGCACCCACCAGCCACAGCCCCAUCCAACAGAGCCCAAACCGGAGACAGCAACUGGAACCAUCUGAAAAUCCAGAUCAUCGAGUGACCCCGAGGAGAUGAGGCAGGUCAGUACAGCCAGGAAUGAAACCCCCAGGCCACGAUACAGCCUGGCAAGGGCAGCCGAGGUUAGACAAAACACAGCAAUGACUAGUCAAUCUGUUGCCCUACAACAGAGCCACGCUCCUCCAGGAUCACUCAGGUGAGGAGUCAAAUCCCAGGGCUCUGCUUAAAACGAGCACCUGGGCCUGUGGGUGGGCACAUGGGUGGGGGCCCCGGGUGGGGCUGUUUAGGGUUAGUAAGAUUUAUUAGUGGCCCCAGGUCACUAACGUGCUGUGUUGUUGUCUAGGUGCUGCAGGUAAAGCCUUGUUCCUACAGCAGCUUUGGUUUUCUGCUAGGCCUUCUAUGUUUUGAUGUGGAGUCUCUCUUAAUAUAAUGUUAUUAUUCUUCCCCUUUUCUAUUAAAAAUCUAUGGGCCUGAGCUAAAAUAACGAUUUAAAGUUUCAGGGGUGGUUGUGUGUUUUAUUUAUGCCUGUUUAUUCCCCACCUUGAAGCUUAAGGUUUUCAUAUACUGCAUUUUUCAAGUUUCCCCCCAGCUCUCUCCUAAUGAUCAAGAAGCUGGAGAUUUGAAAAGAAAGCUACCACUGAUGUUUUCCCAGAGGGCUUGGGGAUUUCGUUGUUAAGUGUAAGAAAAACAACCUUUGUAAUGUUGGCAAUGUUGCAUUGCUAUCAACAUCUCUGGUAUGUGAGACUGCAGUGUCCUGUUUGAAUAACUGACCCUGCAGAGAGAGCUGCACAAGCAGACACCUGCAGCAGCAUGGGGCUGUAUUGAUUUAGAUGUCACUUUGGAUUACAUUCAAAAUAUUUUUGCAGAGUAGUUCUUUGCAGUUGGAUAUGUCCUUCAAGAGGAUAGUUGUCUCAGUGGAAGAGAAAUGUUUACUUUGGUGACUGAUUAGUGUAAAGGAGGGGAUGUUUUGAAACUAAACAGAGUUUGAAAGGAAAUACUCCUCAUUGUCAAAGCUCAUGUGAUGUUAUUCAAGAGCACCCAAAUGUUAUGUUUUCCAGGUGUGCCCAGACACCUGGCCAGCCACCAAACAGAGGUGUUUUCUUCAAAGCAGCGGAUUUACACGGUUUCUUUUACUGCACAGGACAAAAAUAAAUUAUGAGAGAAAAAGUUAAAAAUUGUUCCUCUCAAGCACCUCUCCCGCAUCAAUGCUUAAUCUUUCCAUUAUGUGUGAUGUCAUUAAUCAUCCUACUGUAAUAUUUGACGCACAUUAGUGGGACAAAUUCAGAUCUAAUAUAAAAGAUGCAAUAAUACUGACUUAUGUGGAACUGUAGCUAAUUAUAACAUAUUUGAAUUUUCAUCUUUCAUGAAAGACCUCUAUAAAAUGAAGAACCUUUUACACUGCUGAAAUGAGUCUGAAUGAAACUGGCAAGCAGACAAGGGGAAGAAAGAAAUGUUGUCCAAGGACAAUAGGAGAAAUUUAGGCAUCAUAAUGACCCAAUAACUGGAAAGUAUGUUCAGUUGUUAGUGGAUUUUUAAUUGUCUUUUUCUUUAAGUUCUCAUAUGGCUUCUCUGCCACAAAUUGCACUGUUCAGCCUAUUCAAGUUGGAAUGAUUUGGUUGCCCACGAUGUAGAAUCAUAGUUUUAGGUUGGAAAAGACUUCAAGAUCAAGUCCAACCAUCAGUCUGACCUACAAAGUUCCACCACUAAGCAAUGUCCCUUAGUGCCCCAUCCACGUCUCUGAAAUACCUCCAGGGAUGGGGAUUCCACCACUUUGCUGGGCAGCCUGUUGCAAUGUUUGACCACCAUAUGAACAACUGAUCCUACCAUUCUCUGAGACUAAAUAACAUUCCCGUCUUCACAGGUGGACUAGAAGAGAUAAAGAUGACAGGAAGUCUUCAGGCCACUGCGGUAAUAUAUGAUGAUGCCAAAGGGGGAGAAUUUACAAAGUAUUUUCUGCAAUGCAGCCUCUUUCCUCCCUUCUCCUCUUGUGUUUUGAGUUCCAUGUGUCAAAUCAAGUGUUUGUUACAGCUCUUUGAAAACACAUUAGACUUGAGAUCUGGCGCUGUGUUAGGCACGGAACCAGAGCAGUAUGGAAAUGGCCAUCAAGAGUUAAGGAUUCAUUGAUGUAAUAAAAGGUAGACUUUUCCUCCCUUCCCUGUCAAGCCAUUUUAAAGAUGUCUUUGAGGAGAAACAGGCUCAUUGUCUACCACUAUUUACUGCAUCACAUCCUUUUUCGCAUAUUCCUCUGCUAGUUUUCCUCAUGCCUGCAAUUACUCUUAUUUUUUAAGGUACAACUGUUUGCAAUGUAUCUGUUCUUAUUUAUUCUUCAUCCUUUCGUUCUUCUAAACUCCACUGUAUUUCUGUAUAAAUCAACUAUUUUAAACUCCUAUCUGUUUCACCUUAUCUUUCAAGGCCUAGAAGGUCUCUGUCUUUUUUUUUUUAAUCUCCUUUCUAGGGAAUACCUUCAUCCUCUGUGUGUACCUUAUACUUUAACUCCAUUCUUUUUCAGUGAACUUUCCUUCUUUGCACUGCUGCUGGACUUUCUGUGCCUUGUUUGCCACAUGUUGUCUUUCUCAGUUACAGAUGGAAGUCUGAGUUGCAAAACAAAACUGCAGGAACCCUAGAUUUCCACAAAGAAAUUUUGCAGCCAAAUAUAGAUGUCCAAUACCAAAGUAGGUUGGCAACUUUCUGAUAUUAUUUACAGGUUUUGGAGAAGUGUUAUUUCCCCAAGGCACUUACAUAGCUGGAUGUUGGAUUGAAUUUUAGUUUACUAAUAAAAGUUUUGUAUUGCCUUACAGUUCUCAAACAGCCUUGUUCACCAAUAGAGGACUUGUCCUGAGCACAGUAUGGCUCAUGAUGAGUUGUGGCAGUUAACUGUAUAUCAUCCAUGCAGGUUGGUUAAUAUAAAGAGUGCUUGAAGGAAAAAAAUAUAUUUCUUAUUGCUGAAUUGUAACUGAAUUAGGAGUUCUUUCCACUGAAGCACACCAUAUGUUGUGGUUGUUUUCUAAAUUGAGUUUGCAUUUUACCUCCUAAAACCAAGGCUGGCUCAGCUCUACCUUCGCAACCUCUAACUUGCACGUAUCUGUCAUGUAGAGCUGGUAUGAGUGAUAUGAUCUGCCAUUUAAAUCUUCAAUCAAGUUUUUUAAUUAAGAGCUGGAUAACAUUACUGUUCACAGGCUAGAUCAACUUUAUGCUUUAAUUUGUGGAGUCUAAGAGACUGGUGAGAAUAUUCAAAGGCUUUCUCACUUUUAUGAACUCAUUCUCCAGUGCUGGCGUGAUUUCAGCACAUCUGUUUGCUGAAGCUGCUGCUCCCAGUGACUUUACUGGUAUCAGACACAUUCCUCACUGACUUCUCUUCACCCUUUUUAACAAGAGUUUAACAUUGUCCUUUUAGGGCACGGUUUUGUGAUCAUAAAUAUGCUCGUUCCAUUUACACAGUUGUGGUCUUGCCAGUAAUAAUGGAGAGGUGCUCGCUUGAAACAUUGCUUACAGAAUAAGCAGUACUGGAGGAUUUUUCUCUCUAAGCCAGCCAAGGCUGAGCACAAGAUUCUCAGUGCAUCUUUUCUAUAGGUGUGCUGGGAAAAGGAUGCUAAAAGCCCCGGAACCAAGCAUAUAAAAUAGGGUUCUUGGAAGGAAAUGAAAGCUGCUACCUACCUAACAGGGUUAGCAAUCGAAAAGGCAUCCUAGGGAAUGCUGCAGCCUUGCAGCAGUUCAGUGGUACUGUUGUCAGAGGCAACAACCGAUAACUACCAGUUCUAAUCUAGAAUAUAUCUACACAGAAAACGUCGACACGCAGUGGUCAUGGCUUCAUGCUUCGUAGCAUAACCUGCUGCUAUGAUGUUGACUAGUACUUACUUGAAAGCAACCACCACCAAAAGCUUUCAUGAUCCCUGCCGAAAGUGCUUUUAUUUUAUUUUUUAACUGCUGGAAUUGCAUUUGCAUUUUGCUGUGUAAACAUGCUGUUAGGCAGCUCUGGACAACCAUCUGCAUGAUGAGGGAGAUCGCUCCGAUCCCAGAACAGCCAUCUCACAGCAGAGCCAAAUGAUACUCUAUGAGGCCACUGGCUGUGAAGUCUGUGCUAUGCAUUUUUGCUACACGGUACAGAAACUCAUCCACGAUGUAUGGAAAGCUCCAGAAGUUAUAACUACUGUGUUAAAAAGGAUUAAGAGGCUCUAGACAAAAAGUGUGUGAGUUACUUGCACUUCCAUAGAACCUUUCACCUGAGGAUCUUAAAGGGUUUUACUGACAUUAACGAAACCUUUCUGUGGCUCACUGCGUAUAUAUUAAACACCAUCUCUACAUUAAUGCCAAGAAAAAUGGGGUAGCCCUAGAAUGACUUUUCCAGGGUUGCACAGCUUGGUGCAAGUGAUUCUACGAGGUGUGACAGAUCAUCGGUGGGCUUUGGAAGGUAAUUUUCAGACAUUACUGCAGCCUGACACUCCACCACCUUGCACUUCUACUCCAUGAAGGCUGCAUAAUAGCUGAUGGAUCAUGGCAAUGGUAAAUCCACUCACCCUCUGUUUGCUUCUUUCACUGUUAUGUGCCCUAUGGCUCUAGUGACAGAUCUAUGCUCUGUCUCAAUCUCCUUUUCUCCUCGCCCUCCUGCAAUCAUGUAAAUUCAGUUGUAUUCAGAGCUCCUGAUGACCACGAAGGAAAGAACAAGAUCUCCUGGUUUAAUUUUUUUUUUUUCUGUGGAGGAUUGAUUUCCAUGUGAAGGGGAAUCAAUUAGUCUUAAUGAAUUCAAAUUUAAUUUGUUGCGUGUUUUUUAGGUAGUACACUGAGCACUGAUGGUCUUGCUUUUGGACCAGAAUAUGCUGUUUUCCAGCCCUGUGAUAGGACUUCAGCUCUUACGUUGGUGUGUCUGCAGUGUAGUACUAGGAGAAGGAUUUGUUACUGAAGGUGAGAAGUUAAGCUGAGUUCAUACCUCGUGCUUAUCUGUGAGACUUCCAUAAAAGUCACCAGAUUGCAAUGGCUUGUCAGGGAAAAAUGAGGAUAAUGCUGUUCUAAUCAAGAUAGUCUCAGUAAAAAAUAAAUAAAAAAUACUCCAAAGUGGAUCAAGUAUUUGGUAUGUCUGUGUAUGUGGAUGCUGCUUUUUGGGUGUGUGUGUUAACAGCCAUUGUACAAUAGUUUUAUAGGUGACCGAAUAGCUUGAGACAAAAGACUUAAGUAUAUUCUAGUUGGACCAUUGUUCAGAUUUCUCACACGGGUAACAAAUGGCAAUUGAAAUUCAGUCUCAUGAGGACCCUCAUGCUUUGUAUGCCUCUGAACUUGGACAUUUGUGACUUAUUUCUAGAAGUAUUCAGUAACCUGCAGCCAAUUACUUCAGUUUCUGCUUUACUCCAAGAAUCACACCAUUACAUACUCUAACAAUUAACAAGCCCUAUUUUUUUUGCAGCCUUUCUGACAUCUGCAAAAUAUGUUAGCUCACAGAGGUGUUGUGAGCAUUAUAUUCACCAAGCGCUAUGUAAAUACUAAGUAUAAAAAGUGUAUUAAUUUAUAUAGCACUUUAAGUGCUGUGUAAAUUAAACCACGAAUGAAAGCCUCUAUCCAAAGAUUUAUAACUAGCUUGUACUUUGUGGCCUGGGGAGAAAGAAAAGUACCUUCUUUUACUUUUUUUUUUUUUAAAAAAAGCUUAACUCUCAAUAUCCUCAGUUAUUUACUGGUGUAUUUAUAUUGCACAAUAAAAUAUUUACAUUAAAAUGUAUCAAUUUUCAAAAAACUAACUCCAUUUUCCAACUGAAUUUGGCCAUGUUGAAAAGAAAAUUAUAUACGCCAAAGGACUGCAGUAAAAGAGAUUUAAAGGCUUUCAAAUACUAUAAAAAAGAGACUAUAAUAAGUGACUAGUGGACCAGUCAGCUGUUUUAAUUAAAACUGGGCCAUGUAUUGAUCUAUCGUCCAGAUUUACCCCCAUCUGCAACGUUUCGGCAAUAUUCCCUUUAACCAUUUCAGAAAAUAGCACUUGUAAGAGACACUAAAGAAUACGGAAGUUGAGAAUGUAAAUGUUUUAUAACUAUACGACAUUUUGUACAGAGAUCUUUCUUCCACACCGUGCAAGUGGCAUAUAUAUUUUCAUCCAAAGAGUGAAUCUACAGAUUCUAUAGAAUAUUCCUUUCCAGACAUAAUUAUAAUUGAUUUCGUGAUUGUUACUGCUUAAAGAAUGACAAGUCUAAAAUGUACUGGGUUAAAUAAAUUUUUUAAAGGUGUCAUAUUACCCAAACGCUGCUCUUGCCUUUGAAACCAGUAGGAGCUUUAGUAGUUAUGUGUUGAAGGUGGGCAUUUGUCCUCCCUGAGUUGAGGUAUGUUCUUGUUGUAGAAGCCAAAGAGCUACUAAAAAGGGACUAAUAAAUGCUUUGCACUGGAAUGUAAAGGCUUCUGUAUCAGCAGCUGUGCUUGGUAUCUGUGCUUUGUUCCUGAAGGGCUUGCUUCAUUUUGCUUAAAUUUCUUUUUAUAAGUAACGUGGUGAAAUUGAAGCAGGCGAUGCAAAUGUGGUACGAUUGGUUUUAAAGGCAGAAACAUGUCCUUAAAUUGUGGCACCAGCUGUGGCAGAACAUCUGCACUGAAAGCCACCGCUCACGUGCUCGUUGUUCAAAAGAAACAGGAGGCGAAGCCGCUUUACACCAAACGGCGCACGAGCAGAAGGUGAUGUAUCACUGGGAUAAGUACCUGUUAUUAUUAAAGUUUACCGAGAGCUUUGCUAUGUUUACAGAAGCAGGCAGCAGCGCGUGCGGCGGUAAUCUUGUCAGGUAGCACCAGCCUCUCUGGGUGCGGGCACGCGAACGCCAGCUCCUUUUGGGGUGGCUGCUGGAAUGGAGCCACCUAACAGUGCUGUCUUAGCUGUAUUUUAUUGAAGAGUGGAAAAAAGGGAAAAAAGAGCUGAAGUGUCUUUUUAUUAUGAUGAAGAAUGAAGGUGCCCAGCGUACCAAUAGGUUGAGUGUUUGUGAGAGGACGCAGACGUAGAGUUGGCUUUCUGUUAGCCCAGGAUCCCUGCUUUUUAUUAUUUUUAAACGAGGAAACCUCCCCAUUUCCCUUGUGGGCCAGGCGACCUGCCCCUCGCUGUGGCGGUGGGCAGGGUACCAGGAGGCCCGAGGCCUUCUGGCGCCGCCCCGACGGCCUCACAGGGCGUCGCGCUCCCAAAGCCGCCUCAGGGCUUUCCGGCCGCCAUUUUC